rnacentral:sRNA from 1 species
AGCUUAUCGAGACCCUCUCUGCCCAGCUGCCUCUGCUCCUUCCUCCUCCUCCUCCUCCAAGUGUCUUCCAGCUACGCAGGGCAGUUCAGAGUGAUAGGACCAAGACACCCUAUCCGGGCUCUGGUCGGGGAUGAAGUGGAAUUGCCGUGUCGCAUAUCUCCUGGGAAGAACGCUACAGGCAUGGAGGUGGGGUGGUACCGCCCCCCCUUCUCUAGGGUGGUUCAUCUCUACAGAAAUGGCAAGGACCAAGACGGAGAGCAGGCACCUGAAUAUCGGGGCCGAACAGAGCUGCUGAAAGAUGCUAUUGGUGAGGGAAAGGUGACUCUCAGGAUCCGGAAUGUAAGGUUCUCAGAUGAAGGAGGUUUCACCUGCUUCUUCCGAGAUCAUUCUUACCAAGAGGAGGCAGCAAUGGAAUUGAAAGUAGAAGCUCCCUUAAAGCAGAGAUCAAGAUGA